rnacentral:tRNA from 1 species
GCGAGAGUAGCUCAGUUGGUAGAGCAUAACCUUGCCAAGGUUAGGGUCGCGAGUUCGAGUCUCGUCUCUCGCU